rnacentral:rRNA from 1 species
GUUGAACGCUGGCGGCAUGCCUUACACAUGCAAGUCGAACGGCAGCACGGGAGCAAUCCUGGUGGCGAGUGGCGAACGGGUGAGUAAUAUAUCGGAACGUGCCCAGUCGUGGGGGAUAACGUAGCGAGAGCUACGCUAAUACCGCAUACGAUCUAUGGAUGAAAGCGGGGGAUCGCAAGACCUCGCGCGAUUGGAGCGGCCGAUAUCAGAUUAGGUAGUUGGUGAGGUAAAGGCUCACCAAGCCGACGAUCUGUAGCUGGUCUGAGAGGACGACCAGCCACACUGGGACUGAGACACGGCCCAGACUCCUACGGGAGGCAGCAGUGGGGAAUUUUGGACAAUGGGCGCAAGCCUGAUCCAGCAAUGCCGCGUGCAGGAUGAAGGCCUUCGGGUUGUAAACUGCUUUUGUACGGAGCGAAAAGGCUCCCUCUAAUACAGGGGGCUCAUGACGGUACCGUAAGAAUAAGCACCGGCUAACUACGUGCCAGCAGCCGCCGUAA